GUGCUCGCUUCAGCAGCACAUAUACGAAAA
rnacentral:snRNA from 1 species